rnacentral:rRNA from 1 species
GCGAAUGGCUCAUUAAAACAGUUAUAGUUUAUUUGAUAAUUGAAUUCUACAUGGAUAACCGUAGUAAUUCUAGAGCUAAUACAUGCUGUAAAACCUGACUUUUCGGAAAGGUUGUAUUUAUUAGAUAUCAAACCAAUAAUCUUUCGGGAUUAUUGUGAUGAUUCAUAAUAACUGAUCGGAUCAAGGUGUACCUUGAUAGAUCAUUCAAGUUUCUGCCCUAUCAGCUUUCGAUGGUAGUGUAUUGGACUACCAUGGCAGUCACGGGUAACGGAGAAUUAGGGUUCGAUUCCGGAGAGGGAGCCUGAGAAACGGCUACCACAUCUACGGAAGGCAGCAGGCGCGUAAAUUACCCAAUCCUGAUUCAGGGAGGUAGUGACAAGAAAUAACAACUCGGGGCCUCACGGCUUACGAGAUUGCAAUGAGAACAAUUUAAAUCUCUUAGCGAGGAACAAUUGGAGGGCAAGUCUGGUGCCAGCAGCCGCGGUAAUUCCAGCUCCAAUAGCGUAUAUUAAAAG